CGCAGAUAGCUGGUUCUCCCCGAAAUAGCUUUCGGGCUAGCCUUUGGUAAUAGUGCACGGGGGUAGAGAUACUGAUUAGGAUAGGGGCCCUUAUUGGGUACCCUACUUAGCCAAACUCCGAAUACCGUGUACCGUAUCCAGGGAGUCAGACUAUGGGCGAUAAGGUCCGUGGUCGAGAGGGAAACAACCCAGACCGCCAGCUAAGGUCCCGAAUGUGUGCUAAGUGUAGAAAAGGAAGUGACGUCUCUAGGACAGCCAGGAUGUUGGCUUAGAAGCAGCCAUCAUUUAAAGAGUGCGUAAUAGCUCACUGGUCGAGAGGCUUUGGGCCGAAAAUGAACGGGGCUCAAGUGCACAACCGAAGCUGCGGCUUGUGUCAGAUCGUUGAUCUGAUGCAGGGGUAGGGGAGCGUUCUAACUGGGUGAAGGGAUACGGUAACGAGUCCUGGACGGUUUAGAAGUGAUUAUGCCGGAAUGAGUAGCGAUAAAGCAGGUGAGAAUCCUGCUCGCCGAAAACCUAAGGUUUCCUGGGCACGGUAAAUCCGCCCAGGGUUAGUCGGUCCCUAAGGCGAGGCCGAAAGGCGUAGUCGAUGGGUAACGGGUUAAUAUUCCCGUACUACUGACAGACGUUUGACCAAUGGGGUGACGCGGAAGUGAUAGCAAUCAGGGUGACUGAUGUCCCUGUGUAAGGCCGAGGGUGGUGUGUAGGUAAAUCCGCACACGGAAAGCCGGAGCUGAUGCCGAGCGCGUAUGCGCGAAGUUGCCUGAUCAACCGCCGAGAAAAACCUCUAGGGAGUUUGUUAGUAUCCGUACCAAAACUGACACAGGUAGGUGGGGUGAGAAUCCUAAGGCGCUCGAGAUAACUGCUGUUAAGGAACUCGGCAAAAUGACCCCGUAACUUCGGGAGAAGGGGUGCCGUUGAGUGUGUAGGUCCUCGCGAUCGAAGCAUUCGGCGGCCGCAGAGAAUUGGCCCAAACAACUGUUUACUAAAAACACAGGUCUGUGCUAACUCUUAACGAGGAAGUAUACAGACUGACGCCUGCCCAAUGCCGGAAGGUUAAGGGGAGUGGUUAGCGCAAGCGAAGCUGCGAACUGAAGCCCCGGUGAAUGGCGGCCGUAACUAUGACGGUCCUAAGGUAGCGAAGUUCCUUGUCGGGUAAGUUCCGACCCGCACGAAAGGCGUAACGAUUUGGGCACUGUCUCAACAGCAGACUCGGCGAAAUUGUAGUCGUGGUGAAGAUGCCACGUUCCCGCACUAAGACGGAAAGACCCCGUGAACCUUUACUG
rnacentral:rRNA from 1 species